CGGCCACUUUGGGACUGAGACACGGCCCAAACUCCUACGGGAGGCAGCAGUGGGGGAUAUUGCACAAUGGGGGAAACCCUGAUGCAGCGACGCCGCGUGAGUGAAGAAGUAUUUCGGUAUGUAAAGCUCUAUCAGCAGGGAAGAAGAUGACAGUACCUGAGUAAGAAGCCCCGGCUAACUACGUGCCAGCAGCCGCGGUAAUACGUAGGGGGCAAGCGUUAUCCGGAUUUACUGGGUGUAAAGGGAGCGUAGACGGAUGGAUAAGUCUGAAGUGAAAGCCCGCGGCUCAACUGCGGGACUGCUUUGGAAACUGUGCAUCUUGAGUACGGGAGGGGCAGGCGGAAUUCCUGGUGUAGCGGUGAAAUGCGUAGAUAUC
rnacentral:rRNA from 1 species